rnacentral:rRNA from 1 species
AGAGUUUGAUCAUGGCUCAGAACGAACGCUGGCGGCGUGGCUAAGGCAUGCAAGUCGAACGGAUCCGUCGCAAGACGGGUCAGUGGCGAACGGGUGAGGAAUUCAUGGAUAACGUGCCCCGGACACAGGGAUAGCGUUGUGAAAACGACGGUAAUACCUGAUGACCCCGUAGGACCGCAUGGUCUCGCGGGCAAAGCUCCGACGGUCCGGGAGCGAUUCAUGUCCUAUCAGCUAGUUGGUGAGGUAACGGCCCACCAAGGCAACGACGGGUAUCGGGCGUGAGAGCGUGACCCGACACAUCGGAACUGAGAUACGGUCCGGACACCUACGGGUGGCUGCAGCAACGAAUAUUCCGCAAUGGACGAAAGUCUGACGGAGCGACGCCGCGUGCAGGAAGAAGUCCCUCGGGAUGUAAACUGCUGUCAGGGGUUAGGAACACAAUGACCAACCCCAGAGAG